GACGAACGCUGGCGGCGUGCCUAAUACAUGCAAGUAGAACGCUGAAGGAGGAGCUUGCUUCUCUGGAUGAGUUGCGAACGGGUGAGUAACGCGUAGGUAACCUGCCUGGUAGCGGGGGAUAACUAUUGGAAACGAUAGCUAAUACCGCAUAAGAGAAGAUGUUGCAUGACAUUCGCUUAAAAGGUGCAAUUGCAUCACUACCAGAUGGACCUGCGUUGUAUUAGCUAGUUGGUGGGGUAACGGCUUACCAACGCGACGAUACAUAGCCGACCUGAGAGGGUGGACGGCCACACUGGGACUGAGACACGGCCCAGACUCCUACGGGAGGCAACCGGAGGGGAUCUUCGGCAAUAGACGGAAGGCUGACCGAGCAACGCCGCGUGAGUGGAGAAGGUUUUCGGAUCGUAAAGCUCUGUUGUAAGGGAAGAAAGAGUGUGAGAGUGGAAAGUUCACGCUGUGACGGUAUCUUACCAGAAAGGGACGGCUAACUACGUG
rnacentral:rRNA from 1 species